GACGAACGCUGGCGGCGUGCUUAACACAUGCAAGUCACGGGGGUCCCGCAAGGGAUAACCGGCGAACGGGUGCGUAACACGUGAACAACCUGCCCUCGUGUGGGGGAUAGCCAUGCUAACACGUGGGUAAUACCGCAUACGGUCCCUUGGGGGAGUCCCUGGGGGAAGAAAGCUCCGGCGCACGGGGAGGGGUUCGCGGCCUAUCAGCUAGUUGGGGGG
rnacentral:rRNA from 1 species